GCGCCGGUGGUGUAAUGGCGUAGAGCAUUCCCGCCCGGUUAGAGGGAGGUGCGGGUUCGAGUCCCUCCUGGCGCU
rnacentral:tRNA from 1 species